CCCACCACCGCCUCCACCAAAUUCACCACCACCUCCAUCACCAAUAUUCUCCCCACCACCACCUAUUCCUUACUAUUAUAACUCCCCACCACCCCCAUCACCUCCACAUUCGCCUCCACCUCCACAUUCGCCUCCACCACCAGUUUAUCCUUACUUAUCACCUCCACCACCACCUCCUGUCAAUUCUCCACCUCCCCCAGUUUAUUCAUCACCGCCUCCACCCCCACCUUGUAUAGAACCGCCUCCACCUCCACCUCCACCAUGUAUAGAGUAUUCACCACCUCCACCCCCACCUUCAUCGUCACCGCCUCCUCCUAUACAUUAUAAGCCACCACCAUCACCAUCCCCACCACCACCACCAGCAGUUUACUACCAUUCUCCCCCACCAUUGUCGCCUCCACCCCCAC
rnacentral:lncRNA from 1 species